GACUCCGUGGCGCAAUCGGUUAGCGCGUCUGACUGUUAUCAGGUCUGAGAAGCGAUCAGGAGGUUGGCAGUUCAAGCCUGCCCGGGGUCG